UAUAGGACUGAGAUAAGGAAUAGUAAAUUGUACUGAGUUUUUAGAGAGUUUACGGUUGGUGCGAGUAAAUAACAAGGUCAUUUGAAUCCGCCUUUGAGUCUAUUAUUUUAAAGCGAGUCUAUUUUAUGGGCUAAUUAGGGUGGCAACGCGGGUCUUCUCGUCCCUUUG
rnacentral:ncRNA from 1 species